AUUGAACGCUGGCGGGAUGCUUUACACAUGCAAGUCGAACGGUAGAGGGGGCAACCCCUCGAGAGUGGCGAACGGGUGAGUAAUAUAUCGGAACGUGCCCAGUCGUGGGGGAUAACGUAGCGAAAGUUACGCUAAUACCGCAUACGAUCUAAGGAUGAAAGCGGGGGAUCGCAAGACCUCGCUCGAUUGGAGCGGCCGAUAUCAGAUUAGGUAGUUGGUGGGGUAAAGGCUCACCAAGCCAACGACCUGUAGCUGGUCUGAGAGGACGACCAGCCACACUGGAACUGAGACACGGUCCAGACUCCUACGGGAGGCAGCAGUGGGGAAUUUUGGACAAUGGACGCAAGUCUGAUCCAGCCAUUCCGCGUGCAGGAUGAAGGCCCUCGGGUUGUAAACUGCUUUUGUACGGAACGAAAAGGUCUCUCUUAAUACGGGGGGCUCAUGACGGUACCGUAAGAAUAAGCACCGGCUAACUACGUGCCAGCAGCCGCCGUAA
rnacentral:rRNA from 1 species